GCGGGGUCACUGGCCGGGAGGCCCCGCCUUCCGCCCGAAAGCGCCGGUGCACCCCGCAGGCCCUGCCCGUGGGUCCACAGGCCGGAUCCCCGGGUUCCUAGGCUGGGACUGCUUCUCAGAACCACUCUGUCGUUUUUAAGCAGGGUCACACACUCUAGCUCACUGGGUCCAUUUUAAUUUCUAUUAAACAUUUUUUUUUUUUUGCAAAUGAUGUAGUAGGAGAUCCAAGGUGUUUGGUUAAUGAUUUAUUCACUCAUUAGUCAUUCCACAAACUUGUCUUGAGCACCUGUUAUGUACCCAGCACUGUGCUGGAAUGCUGAGGAGACAGGAGUGAAGUAAAAAGACAUGGUUCCGGCAGGAAACAGGCAAGGAGAGCCUUGACUUGGUAGGGCUAACACAGUGCUACACAGGAGGGACGCCCGCUCGGUGUCGGGGGUCAGCAAAGCUUCCUUAAGGACCACUAGGUUGAGACAAGAAGGAUGAGUAUGGGAUUAGCCAGGAAAGGGAAAAGGGCAGUGGGAACUGGAAGAGAAGAGCCUUCUAGGACUGGGAAAGAGCAAGUGCCGGGUCAGGAGAGAGGACAUAGCAGUGAGGAGGCAGUAGGUAUGGAUGAAUGAGCAGAGGAAGUGGGGAGAGAUUAAGGUGCUUUCAGAAACGGGUUGGAAACCAGUUUAGUGAGUUUGGAUGGCAUUUACCUAAAGGCAAUGUUAGAGUCAUCGAAAGUUUUUAAUCAGGCAAGUGGUAUGAUCAGUUUUUUGUUUUGUUUUGUUUUUUUUGAGACGGAGUCUGGCUAUAUCGCCAGGCUGGAAUGCAAUGGCGCGAUCUCUCCUCACUGCAACCUCCGCCUCCCGGGUUCAAGCGAUUCUCCUGCCUCAGCACCUCGAGUAGCUGGGACUACAGGCGCGCGCCACCACGCCCAGGUAAUUUUUUGUAUUUUUAGGAGAGAUGGGGUUUCACCAUGUUGGCGAGGGUGGUCUCAUUUCUUGACCUCGUGAUGCGCCCACCUCGGUCUCCCAAAGUGCUGGGAUUACAGGCAUGAGCCACUG
rnacentral:lncRNA from 1 species